rnacentral:rRNA from 1 species
GACAGAGGCCUCGAGCGUUAGGCGGAAUCACUGGGCUUAAAGCGUGUGUAGGCGGACGCCUAAGUGUCUUGUGAAAUCCCACGGCUCACCCGUGGAACUGCUGGGCAUACUGGGCGUCUUGGGCCAUUCAGGGGCAACUGGAACAAGCGGUGGAGCGGUGAAAUGCGUAGAUAUCAGGAGGAACACCGGUGGCGAAGGCGGGUCUCUGGGCCGAUACUGACGCUGAGGAGCGAAAGCGUGGGGAGCGAACAGG